AGGAAACCUGUGGAGUGCAUAUGCAGUACAACUAAGGUGUAGAAUCUCUGUUCAGAGCUCACCUUCUCAUAAUUGUGGCCUGCCUGAUGUUGACAGGAAAAAUCCCUGGGAAGCAGCCACAAGAGGGAGCAGGAUUGGUAAUGCCAGAGCUGAUGGCACCCCUUAAGCCCUGUGCACAAAGAUGUUUGGCUCUGCAUGCCACUGCCCUGCACCUCUACAUCCUGGUUCUGAGAGAUGGCACAACAUGUGUGAUGUCAGAGGAGAAGAGAUGGAAAAUGAGCUCUAUUUUUCCAUCCUAUUCCCUUUCUCCUCUCAGCUCUUCCCUCUACAAGAACUGUUUGCGAUCCACGGGGCUGCGCUGACACCUAGUGGUGCUCGCCUGGCUGCAGGGGGACCCUUGGGUGGAUCGCCAGAUGCUGGUUGUGUCCCCAGGAAGCCAGCAUCGUCUUCAUCUUCGAGAAACCUUCUCCAAAAGCUGCAGGAAAAACUGUUGGAAAGGCCUGUUCACCACCUUCGGUCGCUCAGUGGAGUGGCUUCGUCCAGAACACGAGGAUGUUUCCAUAUUUGGGAAAACACAGCUGGAAGAGAUAAUGGGAAAGCUCACCCGGAGAGGGGCAGCGAUGCAGAAAGGACUACAAACCAAUAAGGAAGCCCAUCAGUAGAACACAACAUGUUCUCUUUCAGAUGGCCAUUUAUUCAUGCACACAGAACAAACAGCCUGAGCUCAUCAUCCUACAACAAUACCUAGCAUUUCUCUGUGGUCACUAUACCAUAGUCCAAUGUUAUCUCCAAAGAAAUGAAAGGAAAGCUAAAUAUGGGAUAUACCCAACCCACGUAUAUCCCAUAUUUAGCUUGAAAUGCCUCUCAGAUACUUCGCUGUGGCCAAUGUAAAUGAAUCAAGUCUCUUCAGUUUUACCAGGAUGGAAUAUAUUUAUACAGUGAGAUGUACGUGCAGGUUUAAAUCUGGAGGCUUUAGUGAAAGGUGCAUUGCAUUCAGGGUUUCACUAUAUUGAGAAGUUUAAUAGUGUAAAACUUUAAUAAGUUUCAAAUAUUUGGAAAAAAAAAACCAACCAAACCCAAAAAACCCCUUCAACUACUCUAACCGGUUUUCUUCUUUCCAUUAAGUCUUGUCUAGAGGAUCAAUUACUUGACAUUUUCUGACAUGAUCUACUGGUUGAAGAGCAUUUGGUAAAAUUAAGUAUGGAUUAUGGACAAAAUCCAAGGACUCAAAAAAAAGGGUAUUUUACCUAGGAGUUAAAGAGGGUCAAACCUGAGCAUUUAAUGGUGCUCUUUCAAAUACUGUUCCUUAAAAAUACAGAGAGUCUGAAUCUGUUCUCAUUGAUUAUUACAUAUUUAUCUAAUCACAUGGAAGUACUGCAUCAUAUAUCCUGGAACAGGUGAAAUCAGAGCUCUGCUUGGUAAGAGCAACCAGAGGACAGAUGACCUGGUAAGAAAAUGAGAUUUGGAGAAAGUUGUUUGUAGAUAUACAUAUACAUGCAAUGAGAUAUUCAAUUACAGUAACAUUCCUCUAUGUUACCAGAACAUUAUAUAAGCUCAUCAUGCUGCUCCUCUUCAGACAGGACAUUAUUUAGCAGACCUCCCUGGCAGCAUAUGUGUGGGUUGUGAUGCCUGUGGUACUAUUGGGCAUGCUGAGGAAGAGAAAGAGAUUUAUAGGAGCACUGUACCCCUGAAUCAAAUCUGGGUGGCUAUAUGUCAUCCCUGUGAGGGCUUCUGAAUACAUCCAGUAAUUUCAGCCAAUUUUAUAAAAGGGCAGAAUUGCCAACAACAUUAAUUUCACAUAAGUUUUUUGAAAAUGAGAAGAUUUUAGGGCUUCCUCCCACCUUUUGCCAGUGGAGAUGCUGGUACAUCUCUGCCAUGUUGAUGCCUGCCUGAAAUAAACAGGGUUGACACCACUCAACCUGCCCAGCCAAAUGUUGCCAGGAGGCAAGCAGGGAUGUGAGGAGAGGAGGAGGCAGAUCAGAGAGUCUGAGGAACCUCUGGGAGUAGGGGUAAAGAAGGCUGGGAAUGGCUGCUUGCAACUACAAGUUUUAUAAAGCCUAUUUGUUUCUGGGGAAACUCUUUCUGUUUUGUAUGCAAGUGGUGGAAUUGUCAGUGCCUACCACAGACAAUUUGUUAUGGUUUAAAAGAGAGGAAAUGACUACUGGACAGAGCAUUGGAUAAGAUGGGAAAUUUGGGGCAGAUACCUUUCUCUCACUCUAACUAGAUAAUAUCCAAAGUGUUAGUGUCUUAGGAGCAUGUCUUUCAGAGAAAAUCUUCAGAUGUUGAAAUAUUUACUACCCUGCAUUAAGAUCAGUCGCUUAUGUAAAAUGAUAGGUGGUUUAUAUUUAUUCAUUGAGGAAUGGAUCUCUGUAACAAGACGGUCUUUUAGGAUUGAUCAAAUGUACUUCAGCUUUACUAGUUUAAGAUGUUGACAGUAUACUGCCUACAGAGGUACUUUUAAGAUAUGAAAUGCCAUAUAAAAUUUGGGGGUGGUUUGUUGUUUUAGAACAAAAAUAUACAUUUAGGAGAAAAAUUACUUCUAUCAAGAAAGGCAAUGCAAAAUUAUUUCUAACUAUCGGAAGACUAUAAAAGAAAAAUCAGGGUGAAUAUAUUUCUAAGCUAACAGGCCACAUCUUGUAAGAAAUAAUGUAAGUGAAAGAUAAAGUCAGAACCCUUCCUAAGCUCUCGUCUAGCCUACAUUGUACUUGGGCAGAUUCAUGAAAGCUGUGAUGGGAUAAAAAAGUGAAGAAAAUAUUUCUCUUUUGGUUUGUCAAUGCUGAAAAUAUUUACACCAUAUUUUAGCAGUUUGAACAAUAUUAAUAGCAUCUGUGAAUGGAUUUCCAGAUUUGUAGAAUACAUUCUUAUAACUAAAUGACCUGUUUGAAUAACACACAAUUUUACAAAUUCUGCUCUCCUGUUCCUUUUUUAUUCCAAGAUAAAUUUAUCAUUGUUAAUUAAAAUGUUAAAGAUAUCGCUUAAGCAGAAAAGGGACAAUUAAAAGUAAGUAUAUUAUUCAUUUGAUGAUUUCUCUUUUGUUGUUAUCUUUAGAAGUGCGUGGGGUGACUCUCCUUCCACCUUAUUUUGACUAACCUUUGUCAAAAUCUUCUAAAACAUCAAAGAAACAAAUGUAUUGCUUUUUUCAUGGGCCAUACCAACCUAAUAUUCUCUGAGAUCACUUGAAAAACUCAGCAUUGUAUCUACUGAGGCAGAACAACUCACAGAUUUUUCUGAGAUGUGCAGAGGUGUACAGAAAUGAUACAAAGAUGGACCAAUGUCAUGUCUGGAGUAAUAACUUGGUCCUGAGAUAUUUUACUACUGGAAACACCUUCAGGUUACAUGCAAAAUACCAGUCCUGAAGGCCCUAAUACUGCUCCAAACAACCCAAUACUUUUUUUUCCUAGCUAACAUAAACUUGUAAAUCCAUUGUGGUGCUCUUCUAAUAAAUCCCCUGGUGCAGGGUGGAAAAACUGGUAUAAUUUGUUCAGACAUGCAGACAGAAGGGCGUAUCUGGAAGCUGUUCUGCAGCUAGGGUACAGCUGUGUUCUGAUUUCAACAAAAUAUGCUGGGAGUCAGCUACAGUUGUAAGGUUUUGGGUUUGGUGGGAUGGGUUUUUGAGGGAGAUGUCUGUGUAUUAUAUGCAUAUCACUUUCCUUUUUGUCCCUUCUUUACCAUUAACUUAGACCUCAGUCUGAAGGUAUUGGAUUGGAAUACAUAGUCUAGCAAUGAUACUCAGUGAUCUUUUAAAAUAAAGAUUUCUGAUGGUGAGUCUUCAUUUUAUUUACAUUUUCUUUAAGCUAUCUCAUGAAUUCUUUGGAUAUCUGUCUCAAGCUGCCAUUAACCAGUGCUCAGUUUGACUCCUGCUGUGUUUGUUUCUCCCAGCAAAACACUCUGGCCAUUGUGUAAGGGGCACUGCCAUCCAAAUAUGUCAUAUUUCUUCAGAUACUCCAUGCCAAAAUAAUUUUAAGUUAAACUUCAACUAAAGAAUAAAUAAACAGUCUGAAAUUUCCUUCAGUAACCUGGUUCGUAUAACUGCAAAAACACUUUCUGAAACAGCAUUUGUAAUUUUUUGUGACAACAAGCUGUGGAAACCGUCCCUCAUAUGUUUCUAAUAUUAUCUGAAUUUUCAAUAUAUACUGGAAUAUGUGAAUUUUCAAGAUAUUCUUCUUUGAUUCCUUUGCUAACUAACCUUACUGUUCUCACUCCUCAGCUGUACCCUAGCACGUGGUUUGCUGAUAGGAAUGCUAACCAAAACAGAUAGUUUACAAUACCCAGACACAUGUACUGCUCACUCUGACAUACAGAGAGUAUGCUGAAAAAAAUCUGAUUUUCAAAAGUAAUUGGCUCACAUGGCACAAACGAAAUGUACCAUGAUUUGCUUCCACUGAGGUUCCUAAAUGAUCUCCAGAAAUAUUUAGUUCUUGCUCCCAGUAUUGAGUACAGAGAACAUUUGAAAUCUUGAUCACUUUUUAAAAAUAUGUAACAAUGAAUGUCAUUUCUUUAGGAGUAGGUCAGUUGUUUAGGUUCCUUAAUAAAAACACCAAAAUACUUCAAAUGUGACACCCUGUAGCCUUUGUACUUAAUCAGAACGAAUCUGGAGAAUUGUAAAGCACUAUUCAAUAAGAGUAAAGACAGUUCGUAAUAUUUUAGUGAAUGUUCUAGGAGAGCCUAUAAAACGUUUAUAAAGUCAAAUAAAAAGUUUAGAAAGUCAAAUAAAAUUAUAGAUGAAAUUAUAGAUGUUCUAUGAAAAAGCACAUCAUGAUAAUGCAGUGCUCAGACAAUGAUAUAAGGCUGAUUUUUGGAAUCAGGAUUUUUAUACUGAUAUUUAUAUUAUAUGUACACAAAUACUUGUGGUUCUGUGGCUCUAGCAGCAUUUUUCUCCAGUCUUUUCAGGUUCACUGUGUCUCAGACACGACUCAUAACUUCUGGCAUGUAGAAGUCCAUCCAAAUGCCUUCAGGAGCUCCAGUCUUCUUCCACAGAGUAACUCCACAGGAAUGGGUGUUCCUCUCUCCCAUCCUUAACCACAUUUGAAGACAUCUUUACAUAACUUUAUUCAAAAUCUGAAAAGGAAACUCAGAUUGUUCCUUGGCUUCCUGGAGGAGCAAGCUUGACCUUUUCAUGUCUAUAUUUAAUUUAAAUAUUUAUGCAGCAAAAAUAA